rnacentral:rRNA from 1 species
CAGCCGCCGCGGUAAUACGAGGGGGGCAAGCGUUGUUCGGAAUUAUUGGGCGUAAAGGGUGCGUAGGCGGUUUGGCAAGUUUGGUGUGAAAUCUUCGGGCUCAACUCGAAGUCUGCAUCGAAAACUGCCGGGCUUGAGUAUGGGAGAGGUGAGUGGAAUUUCCGGUGUAGCGGUGAAAUGCGUAGAUAUCGGAAGGAACACCUGUGGCGAAAGCGGCUCACUGGACCAUAACUGACGCUGAUGCACGAAAGCUAGGGGAGCAAACAGGAUUAGAUACCCCCGUAGUCCCUGUCUCUUAUCA